GAUGAACGCUGGCGGCGUGCCUAAUACAUGCAAGUCGAGCGGACGGACGAGAAGCUUGCUUCCCUGCUGUUAGCGGCGGACGGGUGAGUAACACGUGGAUAACCUACCUAUAAGACUGGGAUAACUUCGGGAAACCGGAGCUAAUACCGGAUGAUAUUUUGAACCGCAUGGUUCAAAAGUGAAAGACGGUCUUGCUGUCUCUUAUAGAUGGAUCCGCGCUGCAUUAGCUAGUUGGUAAGGUAACGGCUUACCAAGGCAACGAUGCAUAGCCGACCUGAGAGGGUGAUCAGCCACACUGGAACUGAGACACGGUCCAGACUCCUACGGGAGGCAGCAGUAGGGAAUCUUCCGCAAUGGGCGAAAGCCUGACGGAGCAACGCCGCGUGAGUGAUGAAGGUCUUCGGAUCGUAAAACUCUGUUAUUAGGGAAGAACAUAUGUGUAAGUAACUGUGCACAUCUUGACGGUACCUAAUCAGAAAGCCACGGCUAACUACGUG
rnacentral:rRNA from 1 species